AUUGAACGCUGGCGGCAGGCCUAACACAUGCAAGUCGAACGAGUGGCGGACGGGUGAGUAAUGGCUGGGAAACUGCCCGAUGGAGGGGGAUAACUACUGGAAAAGGUCGCUAAUACCGCAUACCAUCGGAUGUGCCCCGAUGGGAUUAGCUAGGAGGUGGUGUAACUGCUCACCUAGGCGACGAUCCCUAUCUGGUCUGAGAGGAGGACCAGCCACACGGGAACUGAUACACGGUCCAGACGCCUACGGGAGGCAGCAGUGGGGAAGAUGGGACAACGGGCGCAAGCCUGAUGCAGCCAUGCGGCGUGUAUGAAGAAGGCCUUCGGGUUGUAAAGUACUUUCAGCGAGGAGGCGUUACUCGCAGAAGAAGCACCGGCUAACUCCGUGCCAGCAGCCGCGGUAAUUC
rnacentral:rRNA from 1 species